rnacentral:lncRNA from 1 species
CUAGGAUGUUAACCCCAUUUUGAAUGUUUUGAGUUUUAUUGAGUGAAAAUGUUCAUGGAGCUCUUAUGGGUUUUCAUGGAUAUUCUUCAUUGUUCUUGAUGUUCUUGCCAAGAACAAAAAGGUUUGGUAUUUUGAUUCAAAGUUUUGGUUAAUUUCAUAAAGUCUUUGUUUUGUGUUGGUUGAUGUGAAUUUUCUAUCAUCAAAACAUUUAUUUUGAAAGGUGAUAGAAAUGGUGAUGGGUGUGUAAGAAGUACUUCUCUUACACACCACUUGAGUACUUCUUACACACCACUUGCAUGGUUUUAUGAUUCACACCAACCAAAUUCCACUUGCAAGGCUUUAUGACAUUGUUGAAAAAUUUCCAAAUUUUUGUGGACUUAUCUCUUCUCUUUUUUCUCCCUAAAACCGGCCACCCUAUUAAAAUAGGGUAUUUUUGCGGCUUUUAUGCAAUUACAUAAAGUUUUGAUACUUUUGUGUAUUUUUAUUUUGACCCGAAAGUUUACGUUUUGACGUUAAGGCCUAAAAACGCUAAAGGACAAAUUGUUUUGCUCCUUUAAUGAAGUUUUUGAUUUGUUGAAAUUUUUGGGUUCUAGUUGUAAUUACAUGAAGUAUUGGACUAUUGUGUUUUUACAAAGUGACCCCAAAAGUUUGUGUUUUUGCAAUAUAGCCCAAAAGUUGUGGUAAUUGCAUUUUGGCCCAAAUUAGGUUGAGAACAAAAUGGUUUUGUCUCUUUAAAUGAGAAUUGGAUUUUCAUUUCAUUUAGCUUCAUUUAAAUCAAUUUUAUGGAUACAAAAACCAAAUGAAAAUGUUGCAUUCAAUUUAAUUAGUUAAAGUGUUAAUUAAUUAAAGGGUGAUUAUGAACCUAAGCCUACGAUAAUUGAGCUAUGUGAAAGGCCGUUUCAAAUUUGUUUGAACCAUGGGAAUGUGUAGAUAAGAUUUUGGUUGUAAUUUGAUUUGAUCAAAUGUUGUAAAAGGGCAUAAGCUCUUCUUUACUUUAAAGUAAUUUGUUUUAUUCAAAUGUUGUAAAGAGCAUAAGCUCUUCUUUACUUUGAAGUACUCAUUUUCUUGUUUUAUUUGAUAUGCAUGAAAAUGGAGUAGAGGGUCCAACACCCCUAAGACAACACGCCUUAAUGUGAUUAAACGCGUAACUAAAAUCAAUCACCAUCCCUAGACUGAGAUUCAACACUAGGCUCGUGUUGAAUCUAAACAAAGGUUCAUAGUCAUCCUAAGGCCCUAAGGCAACUAUAUAGUCCAUCAAAUGAAUGCAAAAUUUAUGUUAGUAGUAUCAUAUACUCUUGCUUUAAAAACCGUUUUAUAAGCAUAGUGGGAAUAUUAUAUACAACUAAAACAAUCAAAUGGACCAAUAGUUGUAAUAGGACCAAAAUUAUUUUAAUAAAGAUUAAAAUGAAUAUUAUUUGUGAUGAGACCUAAAAACCCUCAACCAAACCAUUAUUAAGUUGAUAAGCGUGAGAGUGCUUUGAACACUCUUUCGUGGCCUUCCACCGUGGUGGGCUUCAAUUGUUUGUGACUCAUACACCGUAUUCGUCCAGUUCUGGGGUUGCAAAGUAUGUGCUUACAUUCAGGAUGAGUCUAUAUGCAUACUUGAUGUUGUGAAAGGUAGGCAACGAGAAUGAUCAACAUCAUAUCAUUGUGAGAUUGUUCUUGAACUCCUACCCGAACUUGCCACUAAGUGUAAUGGAGCCAACAUCAUAUCAUUGUGAGGUAACAUUCUCUAGAGGCCAAAUAAGAUGGGUAC